ACUAAAUCAAUAUUAUUUCUUCUGUUGUAGCAAUGCUCGCAUUUUUUAUAUUUUAUUUUUGUCAGGUAUCCUAAUGGCAACGCCUACAUGUUUUAGUGCUAUGCAAUUUGUAUGUUUAGACGCAAGUGAUGUGGUAUUAUUUUCUUGGCACCCCCUAUGGACUUGAUCUUGUGAAAGGAAGUUUGUCUUAUAAUACGUAUUGCUAUAAAAAGAACAUUUAACAAAUCUACAUUAGUUCUUCUACAAAUAAAUAAUGGAAACAACAUUGAUAUAUUACAUGUGUUUUUUGAUCGGUUAAAAGGAAAAAAGUGAAACCAAGGUAAUACAUAUCUAUAUUUAAAAAUACAAAUCAUGUAACACUAUUCCAUCAUAAAUGGAUUCAAUUGCUCAUCGUUUGUCUCAAAAUCGUUAACGUCAUAUAAUUCUUCUACACACCUGUGCCAAUAAACAUUCUCAUAUGUCUGUAAAUAAAAUAUUAUAAAAAAUGACUAAAUUCAACUCAUAAUAUCAUAUUGACAAAAAUAUAUAACUAAGAUAUUAAAAUAUAAUGACAUAACUUGAAUUAGUUUUUGGAAUCAGAGUCAUGUAACAAAUAAGAAUAAAGAAAUCGUUUCAAUAAAAAGAAAGACAAAGAUUUUGAGAAGAAUUUCAGAAUUUCAUAAUGGUGUGAAAAUUGUAAAACUCAAAAGCAAUAUAUAUAGCCAAAGAGAGCAAGUAACAUUAUCAAUUAUCAAUUAUUCCCUUAAUUUAAGCUUGUAAUUGGAAAAAAAAAGAUCUUCAUGCACACAUUUUUAUUAAAAAUAUAUUCUUUCUUAUAUUGCUUUAAACAUUGUUGCUAAGAAAGGAAAUUAUUACUGGUUAAAAAGAAUAUUAUCAUAUUAAUACUGCUUUAAACAUUGUUGCUAUAAAAUGAUGGAUAAUAUAAUAAUAUUCAUAAAUAUUCAUAAAAGUAAUAAAUUUGUGAGUAGUGAUGGCGCAUUUCAAAUAAAAAUGGCUCCCAUAUUUUGCAAAUAUAUUGAUUUUGUUUAUGAUUUAGCAAUAAAUUCAUUUAAUGUAGUACAAAUAAUUUUUUCACUAAUCAAAUAUGAAUUGUUUAUAAAAUAUAUUAAUUUAAUUAUUAAUUAUUGUAAUAAUAGCAUUUAAUAUCAAAUGCAUGAGAAAAGG
rnacentral:lncRNA from 1 species